rnacentral:rRNA from 1 species
CCUACGGGAGGCAGCAGUCGAGAAUCAUUCACAAUGGGGGAAACCCUGAUGGUGCGACGCCGCGUGGGGGAAUGAAGGUCUUCGGAUUGUAAACCCCUGUCAUGUGGGAGCAAAUUAAAAAGAUAGUACCACAAGAGGAAGAGACGGCUAACGCUGUGCCAGCAGCCGCGGUAAUACAGAGGUCUCAAGCGUUGGUCGGAAUCACUGGGCGUAAAGGGUGCGUAGGCGGUUUCGUAAGUCGUGUGUGAAAGGCGCGGGCUCAACCCGCGGACGGCACAUGAUACUGCGAGACUAGAGUAAUGGAGGGGUAACCGGAAUUCUCGGUGUAGCAGUGAAAUGCGUAGAUAUCGAGAGGAACACUCGUGGCGAAGGCGGGUUCCUGGACAUUAACUGACGCUGAGGCACGAAGGCCAGGGGAGCGAAAGGGAUUAGAUACCCCAGUAGUC